rnacentral:rRNA from 1 species
GACGAACCGUGCGAACGUUGUUCGGAAUCACUGGGCUUAAAGGGCGCGUAGGCGGGCUUGCAAGUCUGCGGUGAAAGCCUCCAGCUCAACUGGAGAAGUGCCGUGGAUACUGUGGGUCUCGAGGAGGGUAGGGGCAUCUGGAACGUUGGGUGGAGCGGUGAAAUGCGUUGAUAUCCAACGGAACUCCGGUGGCGAAGGCGAGGUGCUGGACCCUUUCUGACGCUGAUGCGCGAAAGCCAGGGGAGCGAACGGG